AGUAAUGUAUCGGAACGUGCCCAGUCGUGGGGGAUAACUGCUCGAAAGAGCAGCUAAUACCGCAUACGACCUGAGGGUGAAAGCGGGGGAUCGCAAGACCUCGCGCGAUUGGAGCGGCCGAUAUCAGAUUAGGUAGUUGGUGAGGUAAAGGCUCACCAAGCCGACGACCUGUAGCUGGUCUGAGAGGACGACCAGCCACACUGGGACUGAGACACGGCCCAG
rnacentral:rRNA from 1 species